rnacentral:rRNA from 1 species
UACGAAGGGGGCUAGCGUUGCUCGGAAUCACUGGGCGUAAAGGGUGCGUAGGCGGGUUUUUAAGUCAGGGGUGAAAUCCUGGAGCUCAACUCCAGAACUGCCUUUGAUACUGAAGAUCUUGAGUUCGGGAGAGGUGAGUGGAACUGCGAGUGUAGAGGUGAAAUUCGUAGAUAUUCGCAAGAACACCUGUGGCGAAGGCGGCUCACUGGCCCGAUACUGACGCUGAGGCACGAAAGCGUGGGGAGCAAACAGG